rnacentral:rRNA from 1 species
UACGUAGGGUGCAAGCGUUGUCCGGAAUUACUGGGCGUAAAGAGCUCGUAGGUGGUUUGUCGCGUUGUCCGUGAAAACUCACAACUCAAUUGUGGGCGUGCGGGCGAUACGGGCAGACUGGAGUACUGCAGGGGAGACUGGAAUUCCUGGUGUAGCGGUGGAAUGCGCAGAUAUCAGGAGGAACACCGGUGGCGAAGGCGGGUCUCUGGGCCUUACCUGACGCUGAGGAGCGAAAGCGUGGGGAGCGAACAGG